rnacentral:rRNA from 1 species
GACGAACGCUGGCGGCGUGCUUAACACAUGCAAGUCGAACGGUAAGGCCCUUCGGGGUACACGAGUGGCGAACGGGUGAGUAACACGUGGGUGAUCUGCCCUGCACUUCGGGAUAAGCCUGGGAAACUGGGUCUAAUACCGGAUAGGACUCCUGGCUUCAUGGUUGGGGGUGGAAAGCUUUUGCGGCGUGCGGAUGGGCCCGCGGCCUAUCAGCUUGUGGGUGGGGUAAUGGCCUACCAAGGCGACGACGGGAAGCCGGCCUGGGAGGGUGACCGGUCACACGGGGACUGGGAUACGGCCCAGACUCCUACGGGAGGCAGCAGUGGGGAAUAUUGCACAAUGGGCGCAAGCCUGAUGCAGCGACGCCGCGUGAGGGAUGACGGCCUUCGGGUUGUAAACCUCUUUCAGCUAUGACGAAGCGCAAGUGACGGUAGUAGCAGAAGAAGGACCGGACAACUACGUGCCAGCCGCCGCCGUAA